GCCGCCGUGGCGGAACGGUAGACGCUCCGGACUUAAAAUCCGUUGGGAGGCAACUCCCGUGUGGGUUCGAAUCCCACCGGCGGCA
rnacentral:tRNA from 1 species